rnacentral:lncRNA from 1 species
AUAUCACCCCAAGGCUGGAGACAGACAGCAAGGCCUGGGAAAGCAGCUGCUGGCAGUCCCACCACAGGAGGAAACCAAGAGGGAUCCCCCAAAGCCUCCAUUCCGAGCCUGCUGCCAGACCUACAGUUAGCAGGACCUCCUUGAGAUGGACUCUACUGGAAACAAUUCCAUCUUCCAGAGUGGAUAUUCACUUGUUUGCUCUCCCAGCCAGGAGUCUGGAAGAAGCCAGCAGGCAGUGUAGUCAUUUGGUAAUGUCCUUCUGGCUGCCAAGGUGGAUUAGUGCUGGGAGAUCUUACAACUGGUGAGUAAUGGGCAGUGUUUACUGAUCCUCCGAGAUCCCCAAGGUGUGAUUAUUUUCAUCUGUAGACUUCUGUCAUCCCCCAAAGUGUGCUCUGUCAUUUCCUCUCUUCUUCCUUCACUGGCCUCUCCAGGCUGCGCUAUAAGGACAACAAGGCCCAGGAGUCGUCACCGGUCUAGUCAAACCCAACUGGUAAACACUUCCCAGACCCUGCUAAAGUGAGAGGUUGUCCUGACACUUAACACUGGCUUGCUUUGUACAGAGCUAGGGAUGGUCAUUUAUUAAAAUGUGAUUUUAAUAGCCAUGUUCUCACUCCCAGCACUGUUUUAUUAUGCCCCUACGUCACCCUCAGGGUGGCUUUAGAAUGCCAUAGGCCUGUGAAGAUCUCAGUCCAUGAACAACCCCACAUAUGGAAGAUGUGGUUUCAAAACUAAUUGUUCUUUGCAGUUUUAAAUUGUUCUUAUUGUUCAUUCUCCGACCGCUACUGUCACUGCCACCACCCCAAUUAUUCAACUUGAAUUCUGUUCAUUUCUGGAUUGGCAGAUCUGUAAAAGCCUUCUGACAUCAAAGAAGGCCACGUUCUAGAAUUCAGAUUCUGCAUACACAUAAACUAGAUAAAUUCUAAAGCUAAAAACAAGGGGUAACGCGUUCAUCAUCUAGUAUGCUUGAGGCCCCUGGCUCAAACACCAGCCCAGCGAAAAUGUAAAUGAAUAAAAAUCAAAAAGAAAUAAAAAAUAAAAUUAAAAGCUCAAGUUCUAUCAGUG